GUCCCUGCGUCCCUAAUGGCUUCUCUCUGGUCUCAUUCAGCCAACAGGGCUCUCCCUGAUGACCUGCAGCAGGGCCGGUUGCUGGUUGUGGACUAUGCCACCUGCUCCAGCUCUGGCUGGUGGGGCAGCACCGUGAAGACGAAUAUGAUCUGUGCUGGGGGUGAUGGUGUGAUAUGCACCUGCAACGGAGACUCCGGUGGGCCGCUGAACUGUCAGGCAUCUGACGGCCGGUGGGAGGUGCAUGGCAUCGGCAGCCUCACGUCGGUCCUUGGCUGCAACUACUACUACAAGCCCUCCAUCUUCACGCGGGUCUCCAACUACAACGACUGGAUCAAUUCGGUGAUUGCAAAUAACUAACCAAAAGAAGUCCCUGGGACUGUUUCAGACUUGGAAAGGUCACAGAAGGAAAAUAAUAUUAUAUAAAGUGACAACUAUGCAAA
rnacentral:sRNA from 1 species